UAUUCACAGGUGCAAUCAUAGUGCACUACAGCCUCAAACUCCUAGCCUCAAGCAAUCCUCAUGCCUCAGCCUCCAGAGUAGCUGGGCCUACAGGUACUUAACACCUCAUCUGGCAUCCCCCAGUCAGAUAUUUGGAUGAGACCCCUGCCUUGGCUAACACCUUGAUGAAAACCUGUGGAAGGUUCUAAGGCAGGACCCUCAGCGCAGCCACUUCUCCAGGCACUCGGCAGAGAGAACGCGCGUAGGCGUUGCCCUGGCAACGCCGGGAUGCCCAGCAACAAGUCCGCGGCGUGUAUCACGUGCUCGGCGCGGACCAAUCCGAGGGCCCGCCGGGAAGCAGGAGCAAUAGCAAAAAUUGGGAAUGGGAAGAAACAGGUACCAGCCAGGACACCUGAACGAACUUGGAGCUCAGGAACCCAGGAGGGGAUUGGAGAGAGUGGGGAGACUCCAUGGUCCACAAUGAAUGCUCCUUCCCCAUCCGAAAAAAUCCCCUAGCCCAGUUUUUGGGCAGAUGCCAGACUUUUAUUCUGAAGCGUGGGCCACAACCUAUGAGGUAAUCUUUGGAGCUUCAUUCUGAGGCGGAAUCCCAUUGGCCAGUUGGGGAAGCCCCUCCCAGGAUUCCUGGCGCUCCGCCUUCCCUGAAGCCUAUAAAAGCGCAGGUCCCCGCCUCGGCAGCCACGGGACACCUGCAUCUGCCAACAAGACUGGAAGCAGAAAGGGACAGAGACGGCGAAGUUUGACGGUCUGGAAAGCAGAGACCAGCAGGGCUGACUGCUUGGGAGCACCAAAUAUCCGGACAGCGCCUCUCGGGAGGUCCGAGAAGAGAACCGCGAUCUGUUUCAGCACCGGGGCUCAGGACAGUUCCCAGCGGGCUCCGUUUCGUCUCCAGAACCCUGGACAGCUCCUCCAGCCUCAGGGCUUUUGCCUCUGCUGUUCCUGCAGCUUGGAAUGCACUCCCUCCACCUCCAACCAGAGCUCCCCACAACUGACCCUGCCUUCUUCUGCAAGCUCCAUUUCAUCAAGGGAAACGAUCCUUAUUGCCUCACCAUUUCCCACGUGAAGUCUGUAUUGACAUUCUCAUAGACCUGGGAUAUUGUGUCUGCAGCACAUAGUCCAAUUAUUUUCAUGUUAUCUACUGACAGGUCUAUUUGUCUCCCUGUUACACUGUGAGCUCCGUGAGGGCAGAAACAAUGUUAGUAUUUUCACUGCUGUGUCCCCAGCGCCUGGUCCGGGGCCCGGCACACAGCAGGCAUAUAAUAAGCAUGUGUUGAAUCAAUAAAGGCAUCAAAGAAUAAACCAAUACAUCAAUCAAUAAAUGAAUGAAUGGCCUCAGCACACACAGGAAGAUCCUUCUUCUAGGUCUCCCCCAGAGAGAUACUGGAGGGCAAUGGUUGCUGGAGGUGUUUAUUGGGGAAGCAUAAUUGAAUUUGUGGACACUUAAGGGCCGGCCAGCCAACUCACAGCCCCAAGAGAGAGAGCCAGGCUCAUUUAAUUAGCAAUUACAAGGCACUGAUUCCUCAUUAGCUCUGGCAACCCUCGUCUCCCUCCUCAGCCCCAGACAAAUGAAAUCUUUCUCUCUCUCCCAGGAGUACUGCCUCAGUGGGUCCAUUAACAAGCAGAGAAAAUGAGAUUAGAAGACACCUAAAUGCCAGAGGCACUUUAUGAAUGGGCUGAGCAGAGGGAGGUUCAAUGUCUGGGUUAGGUCUAAUUGUGGGAGGUUUCCUGGUCUAUUUAGAAUUGCCCCCUGGGAAUGCAAGGUCUUUCAGAAAGGAAAAGGCACACAGAUAUUGCCUUCUGGGGUCCUCAAUGGAGGAGGACAUUCUGCUAUGGGUGUCUCCCAGUCACCCCAAAUUAAUCAUUUCAAAGUGAACACUCAAUCUGCCCAGCCCCUAGCUUCCUCCCCUGACAUGCCCAUGAAUAUGACAGUCCCUCUACAUGCCCAAGAUCCUCCCCUCCUCAUCCACUCCCCAUGAUCCCCAAGAUGAGUCACUGUGCUCAAAUCCAUCCUCUCUCCUCCAGCCCUCUGCCUCCAUGACCUCCCUCCAGCCCUCUGCCUCCAUGACCUCCGCCUCCCUGCAUGUCCGGAUCUCCUCACUGUCUCCCCUCUGAGCAUACACACACAUACAGCCUGUUCAUUCUCUACAUGCAGCGAGGGGACUUUCCAGAACACACAUCUGACCAAGUUCCACUCCUGCCUGUCACCCUUCCAAGAGCCCCACUGACUGCAGAAUAACGUUCAAAUAUCCGGUUGGGCGUGGUGGCUCAUGCCUGCAGUCCCAGCACUUUGGGAGGCCAAGGUGGGUGGAUCACUUGCACAGGACCACAGGCGUGUGCCACCACACCCAGCUAAUUUUUAUAUUUUUGGUAGAGACGGAGUUUCACCAUGUUGGCCAGGCUGACCUCAAGUGAUCCACCCGCCUCAACCUCCCAAAGUGCUGGGAUUACAGGCAUGAGUCACUGCACCGGUCUAAUUUUUUCAGAGUCUCACUCUUGCCCAGGCUGGAGUGCAGUAGCAUGAUCUCGGUUCACUGCAACCUCUGCCUCCUGGUUUCAAGCGAUUCUCUUGGCUCAGCCUCCUGAGCAGCUGGGAUUACAGGCACGUGCCACCACACUUAGCUAAUUUUUGUAUUUUUAGUAGAGAUGGGGGUCUCACCAUGCUGGCACAGUUGGUCUUGAACUCCUGACCUCAAGUGAUCCACCCACCUCGGCUUCCCAAAGUGCUGGGAUUACAGACGUGAGCCACCGCGCCCGGCCAGCCUUUAUUGAUUCUUUUUAAAGCCACACUAACCUUUUAUUUUCCCCCAAAGACCCCUGGGAGCCCUCAGUUUUUCCUGGCAGUUUCAUCUUUGUACCCCUGACCUCCCCACACACACGCCUAGCUCAGUGCUGGCAUCCAAUAUUCACUUUGGGUAUAAAUGCUUGUGCCUGAGCCUAUCACCUUCAUCACACAGAAAAUCCUGGAGGCCACACACCCCUGUAAAGACGAGCCAUUACCCACAGAGGUCCAACCAACUUACCACCCUCUCCCAGCCACCCCCAAGGACCCAGCUUGCAGCUGCCUGCUCAAUGGCUUUAGAAACUAAAAAAGGUGAAUGAGUUUCCAUCACUGCCCUCCUGGGCUUUGCCGUUAUGGCUGGUUAACUUGACAGAAGAACACAUUAUACUUCAUUUUUUGCUGUUGUCUUGUUGGAAAAAAAAGUGACAGCUGGGUGCAGUGGUGCACACUGUAGUCACAGCUACUCAGGAGAAUUGCUUGAGCACAGGAAUUGGAGGCUACACUGAGCAAUGAUCGCCUCACUGCACUCCAGCCUGAACGACAGAGCAAGACCCUCUUAAAAAAUACGUGAGAGAGGGUGCGUAUGAUGGCUCAUGCCUGUAAUCCCAGCAGUUUG
rnacentral:lncRNA from 1 species